UGAGGAAUAUUGGACAAUGGGCGCAAGCCUGAUCCAGCCAUGCCGCGUGCAGGAUGACGGUCCUAUGGAUUGUAAACUGCUUUUGUACAGGAAGAAACAGUUCUACGUGUAGAACCUUGACGGUACUGUAAGAAUAAGGAUCGGCUAACUCCGUGCCAGCAGCCGCGGUAAUACGGAGGAUCCAAGCGUUAUCCGGAAUCAUUGGGUUUAAAGGGUCCGUAGGCGGUUAGAUAAGUCAGUGGUGAAAGCCCAUCGCUCAACGGUGGAACGGCCAUUGAUACUGUCUGACUUGAAUUAUUAGGAAGUAACUAGAAUAUGUAGUGUAGCGGUGAAAUGCUUAGAGAUUACAUGGAAUACCAAUUGCGAAGGCAGGUUACUACUAAUGGAUUGACGCUGAUGGACGAAAGCGUGGGUAGCGAACAGGAUUAGAUACCCACGUAGUCCCUGAGCGGGC
rnacentral:rRNA from 1 species